rnacentral:tRNA from 10 species
UCUCAGUAGUUUAGUGUGGUAUAGAGCGUCAGACUGUAAAUCUGAAAAUCGUGGGUUUGACUCGCCCCCGGGAGAU